rnacentral:rRNA from 1 species
ACUCUACGGGAGGCAGCAGUCGGGAAUUUUGGGCAAUGGGCGAAAGCCUGACCCAGCAACGCCGCGUGAAGGAUGAAAUCCCUCGGGAUGUAAACUUCGCAAGAUUGGGAAGAAUUAGUAGGGGUUAAUACCCCCUAUGAUGACGGUACCUUUUGUAAGCUCCGGCUAACUCCGUGCCAGCAGCCGCGGUAAUAC